GUAAUUAGUAAUUUUUGAAUUUAUAGUGGUACCCCAAGAACCUGUUGAUGACUGCGGACCUUAUGGUUGUGGGCUCAAAUCCAACCCAGUGGUACCCCUAGAUGAUGAGGACUGCAGAUCCGAUGGUUGCCGGUUCAAAUCCCCCGCAGCUGACCAACAAGAUAUGAGUUUUCAACCACAUAAAAUUUUUACGAGAAGGAACAAGGUGUAAUUCCUCCUGUGUUAGAAUUCCAACAAAUGAUUAUUGCAGGAACUGUUGGAAAGUUGGCUAAUUCAUACUAAUGUAUUAGUGAUAAUAUACAACAACAUAUAUCUAGUGUUAAUGAUGCUAUUUAUACACAUUCAUAUUAAUGUGUCUAAUAAAAAUUUAUGUUAAAUUAAA